rnacentral:lncRNA from 1 species
AACCCUAUCUACGCUGGUUUUUCCUAUACAUGCAUACGUAUGAUAAAGUUUAAUUUAUAAAUUAGGCACAGUAAGAGAUUAACAAUAACUAAUAAUAGAACAGUUAUAACAAUGUAUUGUAAUAAAACUUACUGUAGAUCUUAGCACCCUCAGCAUACAGAUUUCUUUGUUUUUUUAUUAAGUUGAGAACUUUCACCUUUUCCCUUAAAGGGAGCUUCUCUUUGGCAUACCCAAAUUGCCAGCAUCACUACUCUUGGGCUUUGGCACAUUAAUAAGUAAAAUAAGGGUUACUUGAAUACAACUACUGUGAUACCACAACAGUCGAUACAGCAUAUACAGCGAGGAUAUGCUGGACAAAGGGAUGAUUCGCAUCCUCGGCAACACGGAGUGGGACAGUGCAAGAUUUCAUCAUGCUGCACAGAAUGGCACAUAAUUUAAAACUUAGGAGUUAUUUAUUUCUGGAAUUUCCAUUUAAUAUCUUUGGACCUCAGUUGACCACAGGAAGAUGGAGUGGAUAUAUUUCUCUCUAUUCCUCCUACUAAGUACAACUAGUAACUCUGGACAUUACGUAUAAAAUAAACGUAAGAAGAUUCCAAAAGGUGGAGAAAAGAAGGCAUACCAGCUAGGGACCUCAGGACCUAAGGAGGAACACAGAGGGCAUGACACUGAGCAGAACUCUUCCAGUGUCCUUCGCAGCUGGAUAUGGCAAUGUGACUAAAUUUGGGCCAACAGGAUAUGAGCAGAGGUGAUCUGUGCCACCUCCAGGUCUUUCCUUAAAGUUGGACACCUUUACCCUGGACAUCUUCUUUCCCAUUUCCCCAGACGUGGAGGGAGCCAGUAUCGACCACAUGGAUGAAGACCACACCCAAGGAGAUGGUGAAAUGAUAAGAC